CUUGGGAGCUCGGGAGCAAGGACCCCCUCGUAACAGUGGUAUCAAAUGGAAUUCUGAAGAUAAAUGACAUACAAGUGCCAAAUUUACAGUUCCAAAAUGAAGAGUUCUGCAUUCAAAAAAAGGAUGAGAAAGGAUGUUAUUUGAGCUAGACCUUCAAGCACAAGAGGAAUUCCGAUAAGUACGAGGCACUGGAAAAUUAUUAUAGUCAAGGAUAAUGGCAAAAGCAGAGAAUAAAGGCAGGAAGGGGCAUGUAGUGAUCAGAAGCCAAAACAAAAAUCAGUGGGCAGAUACAUUCUUUAGAACAACUCAUUAUUAUCGUCAUUAUAUACACAAGAAAACAGAGUUCAUCAGAUAGGUUCAGCAGAUUGUUCAAGGUCACAUAGCAAAAGAUGGAGACUCUUGGAUUUUAUCCCAGCCAGACCAACUCUAACCACCAUCCUGUGCAGCCUGAGACCAAUUGUUAAAGUUACAUGUAUUGGUAUGACCAUUUCCACCUGACAGCAAAUGCAAGGGAACCAUAAAUACCACACAAAGAAGAAAAAAAAAAUGAAGAGAGAAUGAAUGAAAGAAAAAUGUUUGGCAAUGGGAACCUACAAUUAUGACUCAAAUGCCCCUAACUUCAAUAAAAGGGAAAUGAACUAUGAAAUUAUUGAAGGAAGCAGUAUAUGAAAAUGAAGGCAUAGAUACUCCAUUCAAAUCUCU
rnacentral:lncRNA from 10 species